rnacentral:rRNA from 1 species
CCUACGGGGGGCAGCAGUGGGGGAUAUUGCACAAUGGGGGGAACCCUGAUGCAGCGACGCCGCGUGGGUGAAGAAGCGCCUCGGCGCGUAAAGCCCUGUCAGCAGGGAAGAAAAUGACGGUACCUGAAGAAGAAGCCCCGGCUAACUACGUGCCAGCAGCCGCGGUAAUACGUAGGGGGCAAGCGUUAUCCGGAUUUACUGGGUGUAAAGGGGGCGAAGACGGAGAUGCAAGCCAGGAGUGAAAGCCCGGGGCCCAACCCCGGGACUGCUCUUGGAACUGCGUGGCUAGAGUGCAGGAGGGGCAGGCGGAAGGCCUGGUGUAGCGGUGAAAUGCGUAGAGAUCAGGAGGAACACCGGUGGCGAAGGCGGCCUGCUGGACUGCAACUGACGUUGAGGCCCGAAAGCGUGGGGAGCAAACAGGAUUAGAUACCCCGGUAGUC